CAGAAGGAAUUUUUUUUAAAAGAAGGUACUGUGCAAACUUUUUACAUUACAAAAUCUUGCUCAGUUGCAAUCCAGACAUCCAACAGAGCAGGUCUCCUUUGGACUCCUUGGGAAUGGAUUUUUAUCGCAAAGAAGAAAUGAGCAGAGAGCUCAAGCUGGCUUUUCUCCAUCUGUGGAGACUUGUACUUGCUCCAUGGCUGCUCAUGGACCCCAGGAAAGAGGACAAGGAUUUCUCUAACAUACAGAGUGUACUGGAUCCUUUUGAUUUCUCAGCUCUUCAUUUUUCUUUCCCAGUGGAUGGAUGCAAAAAAUUUUAUCUGAAUAAUCCUAAGGCUACCUUCCAAGAAUCUGCUAACAAGUGCUAACAAAAAUCAAGAUCUCUCCUGAAACUGAAGCACACAGAACAGUGCCUAAAAUCAAUUUGUAUUGUAGUUUGAAAUCAUCUUUAACAACCCAGACAAAUGCAAAUGCAUGCAAUCAGUUUAUAUAUGCAGGAUUGUGUCAGUAGCAAGCAUUAUGCUUUCAAUAGAACUAUCAGGGAUGUGAACAGUUUUUGAUGUUAAGUUUACAAAGUUGUUUAAUAAUUUCUAUUCAUGAGUAUUCAAAUAAAAC
rnacentral:lncRNA from 1 species